GACGAACGCUGGCGGCGUGCCUAAUACAUGCAAGUAGAACGCUGAAGGAGGAGCUUGCUUCUCCGGAUGAGUUGCGAACGGGUGAGUAACGCGUAGGUAACCUGCCUGGUAGCGGGGGAUAACUAUUGGAAACGAUAGCUAAUACCGCAUAAGAGUAGAUGUUGCAUGACAUUUGCUUAAAAGGUGCAAUUGCAUCACUACCAGAUGGACCUGCGUUGUAUUAGCUAGUUGGUGAGGUAACGGCUCACCAAGGCGACGAUACAUAGCCGACCUGAGAGGGUGAUCGGCCACACUGGGACUGAGACACGGCCCAGACUCCUACGGGAGGCAGCAGUAGGGAAUCUUCGGCAAUGGACGGAAGUCUGACCGAGCAACGCCGCGUGAGUGAAGAAGGUUUUCGGAUCGUAAAGCUCGGUUGUAAGAGAAGAACGAGUGUGAGAGUGGAAAGUUCACACUGUGACGGUAUCUUACCAGAAAGGGACGGCUAACUACGUG
rnacentral:rRNA from 1 species